GAUGUCUCUAAAUAAAAAGAAAAUAUUCUACAAAUAAAAAUUAGAUAUGUUAAUAAAAUGUGUCGCUGAAUAAUGAGUUUUUAAUUUUCGAGAACAAAAAAAUCAUUCUGAUAAAUAGAAUAGUGUAAUAGCAUUUAUAUUCUCUUUAAUUUACAUAUAUAAGGAGUGUACUGAUCAUUUUGAAAAAUAAAAUUAUUAGCAAAGUCUCCAGUGCAUGAUUCAUAUAUUAAAAGGAGUCAGGAAUUGUAUAAUACAAUGGAUUUCUCUAAUAUACUUCAAGAGUUACAGAUAUGCAAAGAAAAUGUCCCUACUUAUAAAAAAUUAAUAACACUUAAUUAUUUAUUAAAGAAUUCAUCGAAUAAAAAGAAUACAGAAGAAUGGCAAUUAAUAUUAUCAAAUAUAAUGGAAGCAUUGGCUAAUAAUCAAGAUAUAGGCAAAGAAUGGGUUUUAUUAGCAUCUCAUGCAUUUUUCAUAUUACAAUCAGCUCAAUCUGAUCCUGAAUCACUGCAAAGAUGUUUAACAUAUUUUUUAGAAGUACAUUCCUCUGAAUUAUUUUUUAAUAAUAAGACAUAUAAAAUAAUUCAUCUAGAAUUGUUCAAGUUGAUCAUUAUAUAUGGCUAUUUACAAGUUAAUCAGAAAAAUAUAUAUUCCAAUAAUAUAUUAUGUAUUAUGUUCAACAUUUUCUACCCUCAUUGCACACGAUAUACCCCUUAUUCAUAUUUUGCAUACAAAAUAUUUAAUAUGUGGUUAAAUGUAUCAGUAUACGUAGAUUUUUGGAAUACGAACACUUUAUUAAUAGAACAGCAGCUAGAAAUGAUUAUAUUUUCAAAUUGGCAUAAUUCAAUUAGUGAAAUUAGUAAACGGAAUACAACACACAUUUUUAAUAUAUAUUUGAAAAUAAUGACAAAAAAAUAUAGUGGAUUUUUGGAAUAUAUAUUUAAUAGUGUUGAUAAUUUCUCAUGGCAAAACGAAACAAAAUAUAUCAUAUUAGCAGAAAUUUUUUAUAUGUCAAAAUGUAGAAUUACAGAAAUAAUAUCAGAAAAUUUUUUAUUGAACUUGAGUACUUCAUUAACAAAAAAUCACUUAUGUCGUUGUGGUGCAAAACUUUAUUUGAAUAUUCUAAACAGACUUACUGAAGAAGACUGGAAAAAAUCAUUCAGUACUGUUAUAAAAUAUCUCAUUUGUCAAUGGGACAUAGGACCGAAACAAAAUUAUAAUGCACUUAAAUCGCUUUGUAAAUAUUGGCUUGAACCGACUAUAGCAAAAUACAAAAAUAUCAUAUUGCAUUUAUGGGAAUUAUGUAAGGAUUUAGCAGCACCAUGUUUUCAUUCACACUUACAAAGGAUUACUAGCGAAAUGUAUGUCACUUUUCCACAAGACAUUGACAUUAUUUCUUAUAUACGUCACAAAAAUGAAGUUAUAAGAUUAAAUGGAUUUGCAAUUUACUGUUAUCAAUUCAGUAAAUUACUGAAUGAAGAUCAAAUUAAUAACUCAAUUAUAAUAAAACAAUUUUUAUGGUAUAAUGCAAAUACCACAUCAAUAUUCCUAAGAGAUGAAAUAACUAAAUACUUUAAAAUAUUUUAUACAAGCGCUUUAAAAAUAAGUGAAAAUGCUUAUUAUAAUCAAACAUGUGAGAUAAUGGAUUGGCUACAUACAUUUUUAUUAGACUGUUUUGAACCUGGUUCUAGUUAUCAACGUAAAAUUCUCGGUUUAAAUUUAUAUAAAAUUGUUCUUUCUGUAACUGAUACAUAUUCUUGUAAACAUCCAAUUAAAAAAGAACAUGAUUCCCUUAUUAUAUUUGAUAACAAAUGCGUAAAAAAAGAUAUAAUGUGCAAAUUUACAAAUAAGACAUUUUUAUUGGUCCUUUUAAAGCUAAUACAAAAUAGUGCAUUUGAUAUAAAACAAAUAUCAACUUACAUUAUUAUCAAUUAUUUUGAGAAAGAUGUUCUAACGAAUAUAGAAAAGAAAGUAAUAUUUAAUGUGGCGAUAAGACAUUGUAAUUCGUCAAAAUUUUAUGAAGUGGAUAGUGGAGCAGCAUUGAUGAAAGUUUUUUCAACGUGGGAGCCUUUUAAUACAGAGUUUAUUACUGAUAAAUGUGAAGAAAGUGCUUUGUGCAAUAGUUAUUAUGAAUUCUUUUUAUAUGAAGCAAAAAAACAAUUACUACAAAUGAAAGAAGAUAUAUUAAAAGCAAUUGUUCAUAAUAGAUCUUAUUAUGGUAUCCUUACUGCCAUGCUUAAUAUAAAUUUUCAACGUGAUCAGGAAAACUGUACACCUCCUUUAAAUUUUAUCAAAAAAUUAAUGGAUUUCUUAGAUGAUGCUAUAACUUUUUUCUUAUCCAUAUUUUCAUCAAAAUCUACAACUACAAAAUAUGCAUCAUCUUUCGAAGAAAUGGGAUUAGCAAUUAAUGAUACAAUUAAAACUAGCACAAUAAAUGAUGAUAAUUAUGACGAUCUCAUUCUAUCACCUGCACAUCAAGUUAUUAUAUCUUGCAUUUGGCUAUCCUUGAAGAUUUCUUGUGAAAUAGCUAGCAAUAUAGGCAGUUGUAUGUAUUCUAAUGAAAUUACUUUACAUGCAAUUAAAUUAAUUACAAUGGUAUUGAUGAAAUGUCGGCAUAGAGGAGCAAUCGAAACUGCUGGAGUAGCUAUUGGCAAUUUAGUGAGAUGUAUAAGUAAACAAGAUAGUUAUGCUGAAACAUUAAAGAUGUAUGUGAAAAAUUUAUUAGAAGAUAAAACAAUGAAUACUUUGAAUAUAACUCGACGCGGUGCCGGAUUUUCGUUGAUGUUUCAUAAAAUUGUAUCGAGUGAUGCUCGUAAAGAAAGACCUCUUUUAUGUUUUGCUAUAGAAGAAUUACUGUAUUCUUUAGAAAACUCUUCUGAAACUCAAUUUGAAAAUAUUGAGUAUAAAUAUGAUCUUCCAUUAGUAAGACAUUUACUUUUUUUACGUGCAUUAGUAACCGAUAAAGAUUUACAUGUACAAUUAACAUCAUAUAUGGAACGUAUUUCUUUAGUAUGUUUCCGAUAUUUACGAUCAGAAAUUUGGCUAAUCAGGAAUGCUAGUCUUCAAUUAUUUGGUUCUUUAGUUCCACGUUUGGUAGGACAAAAUAUUGGUGGAACAACUUUAGAUUUUGGAAAUGGAUAUCAUAUUAAUCAUUUCGUCAGUCACUAUCCAAUCCUUACAAAACACAUAUCAGAACAGCUUCAGAUUUUUUCACAAUUAUCAGAAAAUUCUAACAUCAUAUUACAUGAGUAUUCAAAUAUUGUACAUAUUCUUAUACUACUUUCUAAGUUUUCAAUUAGUGGUUGUGAUUUCAUUGAUUAUUUAUCAUAUGAUUUUGUAAAAGAACUGAAAAGUUGUUUAACCAAACUUCUGGCUAAUCCUAUAGAAUAUGUUAGACUACUUACUGCAAAAACAUAUGCAGCUUUAACUGCAUUUUCAUGCAUUAAAUCGGAAAUCGAAAUAUUGAAAUUAAAUAUUUCAUUAAUGAAAAAUGUUAAUAUGAUACAUGGACAUUUACUUACUAUAAAAUAUUUAAAAGAGAAAUUUUUAGUCGAAGCAGAAAGCAUAAAUUCAUGUGAAAUAAUGAAAUCAACAAUUCCUAUUCCUGAAGGAAAAUACAUCAAUGAAUAUAGAAUCGAAAAUAUUAUGAAGAUCUGGAAUAAUAAGUUAAAAUUUAAAAAUAAUGAACAAAUAUGCUAUACUAUAGAGUGCAUGCUCAUAGAAUUAUUUAAUUUGAAAUCAUUUCCAUUAAAUAUCGAAUUAUUUGAUAAAAUUAUAUUAGAUAGUUUAAAUGUAUUACAUAUUGAAAAGAUAAAACCGAGUUUUUAUCAAUUCACAGAUAUUCUAACAUAUUUAUACGCAGAUCAUAUUAAAUCUACUAAUACAUUUAAUUUGAAAGUCAUUGAUAAAAUUAUUCAUUCUAAAUAUACAGAUCAAACUAUUAAUUUUUUAUCUCAUUUGCAUUAUUUUACUCCAAUUCUUAAAAAUAUAUUACAUAUCUUACUAUCUAUAACUGAUAAUGGUAAUGAAUUAGUCAUUAAUGCAAUGAUCAAAUUUAUAAUUACAACUUUUAAAAAUUCACUGUUAAACGAUAUUUAUGAAUUAAAAUUAGAAGAAGUAGCUCUGAAUUUAAUUACAAAACUUGAUAUGAAUAUUUCAAUUAUUAAUGCAUUGCACUUAAAACAUAUAUUAAUAGCAAUAUUUUGUAAAGAUGAGAGUGUCAUAUAUAAAAUAUUAUCAACAAUUUUUAAUAUGAGUCUUAGCGACAAUGAAUAUGUACAAAAUGAAGUAUUUGAAUGUCUUCAAUUUUUUGUUCAACGUUUUUCGGAAGUAGAAUAUAAAAACAAAUUGUUAAUGAUGCAUUGUUGUCUUAUAUUAUUGAAGAAUCAUAUUUAUGAGAUACGUGAUUCAGUUAGUACAAUUGUACAAAAUCAUAUUUUAUCUAGUAUCUAUGAUGAUAAAAUGAUGUGUGAACACAAUGAAAUUAUAUAUCAACAACUACUCUUAGAAAUAGUGUAUUAUAUAUCGUCAUCUAAUUAUUUUUAUCUAAAUGAUAACAUAGAAUUUAUAAGACAGUUCAUAGGUCUUGAUAAAUUUCAUAACAAGCAAUCUUCAUCAGUUAAAAAUCCAUUUGAUCAUGACCAUAAUACUUACAAAGAAGAAACUAAGUUUAUAAACAUACUUUACUUUUAUAUUCAAUCUAAUACAAAAUAUUAUUGUAUGAUAAAAUACGAAAAAAAUAAUGAAAAUUAUAUCGAUGUGUCACGUAUCAUUGAAAGUAAAUAUCAAAUUUUAAAAAUAACUGAUCUUAAUAUUAAUCUUAUACAAAAUUUGUUAGCUAUUGAAGAUGAAGAGUAUCUAUUUAAGAAGCAAGAAAUUUUAAUCCAAGAGUGCAAGAAUAAAAACAAAUAACAUAAAAUGUAUAUAUGAAAAGCGUUAUUUUACAAAGUUUAAGAACAUUAUAUAUUAUUAUUUUAAAUUCUCAAUAAAAAAAAAAUUGUUUAUCAUUUCCAAAAAAAAAUAAUUUUCAAGUGUUGGUAGAAUAGAUUAUAUAUUAAGUAAUUGGCAGCACUGACGUUAUUCAGAAUAAGGCAGUUACAGAACCAGUAAAACGUGAGAUUUGUGAUGGAGCAAAAACGUCCUAACCGGUUAAGUCAUUGCAUAUGGAAGGCAAAUGCAACAGAUACUCCUCAUACAGUAAGACAAAAACCUUCAAAUCGUGAUAAUAUAUUGCCUAACAUUUUGGAAGCUAUUGGUCAAACUCCUUUAGUACGUUUGAAUAACAUUCCUCAAUCACAUGGACUAGAAUGUGAAAUAUUUGCAAAAUGUGAAUUUAUGAAUCCUGGCGGUUCUGUGAAAGACAGAAUUGCUUAUAGAAUGAUCCAAGAUGCAGAAGAAAAAGGAAUAUUGAAGCCAGGUUCUACUAUAAUUGAACCGACUAGUGGUAACACGGGGAUCGGUUUAGCAAUGGUUGCAGCUGUUAAAGGAUAUAGAUGUAUUAUUGUUAUGCCAGAAAAAAUGUCGAAUGAAAAAGUACAAACUCUA
rnacentral:misc_RNA from 1 species